UACAGAGGGGCGAGCGUUAAUCGGAAUUACUGGGCGUAAAGCGCGCGUAGGCGGUUUGGUAAGUCGGAUGUGAAAGCCCUGGGCUCAACCUGGGAAUUGCAUUCGAUACUGCCUGACUAGAGUAUGGUAGAGGGAAGUGGAAUUUCCGGUGUAGCGGUGAAAUGCGUAGAUAUCGGAAGGAACACCAGUGGCGAAGGCGACUUCCUGGGCCAAUACUGACGCUGAGGCGCGAAAGCGUGGGGAGCAAACAGGAUUAGAAACCCCAGUAGUCC
rnacentral:rRNA from 1 species